GACGAACGCUGGCGGCGUGCUUAACACAUGCAAGUCGAACGGAAAGGCCCUGCUUUUGUGGGGUGCUCGAGUGGCGAACGGGUGAGUAACACGUGAGUAACCUGCCCUUGACUUUGGGAUAACUUCAGGAAACUGGGGCUAAUACCGGCUAGGAGCUCCUGCUGCAUGGUGGGGGUUGGACAGUUUCGGCGGUUGGGGAUGGACUCGCGGCUUAUCAGCUUGUUGGUGGGGUAGUGGCUUACCAAGGCUUUGACGGGUAGCCGGCCUGAGAGGGUGACCGGCCACAUGGGGACUGAGAGACGGACCAGACUCCUACGGGAGGCAGCAGGGGGGAAUAUUGCACAAUGGGCGGAAGCCUGAGGCAGCAACGCCGCGUGCGGGAUGAAGGCCUUCGGGUUGUAAACCGCUUUCGCCUGUGACGAAGCGUGAGUGACGGUAAUGGGUAAAGAAGCACCGGCUAACUACGUG
rnacentral:rRNA from 1 species